rnacentral:rRNA from 1 species
CAGCCGUAAACAAUGUGCGUUAGGUAUGUCGGUAACCACGUGUUACUGAUGUGCCGAAGAGAAAUCGUGAAACGCACCACCUGGGAAGUACGGUCGCAAGGCUGAAACUUAAGGGAAUUGGCGGGGGAGCACCACAACAGGUGGAGCCUGCGGUUUAAUUGGAUUCAACGCCGGACAUCUCACCGGAUAAGACAGCUGAAUGAUUGUCAAUCUGAAGGUUUUACAUGACUAGCUGAGAGGAGGUGCAUGGCGUCAGUGACU